AGUUUAUUAGUGGGAUGUGGUUCCUGAACCAAUGAUAGUUGUUCGUAUUCAUUAAAGUAAUAUGGGGUGGAAGCUAUUGACGUUUUAAGAAAGUAUCUUUACUGUAAAGUCAAUUUAAGUUGGUAGAAUAUCACCAAAGUCUAGAAAUACAAAAGCAAUUGAUAUUGAUUGGAGGGAUGAGGUCCCUGAACCAAUCACAGUUAGUUUAACUCAUCAAUGUCACAUGGGGUGGAAUCUAUUGACAUUUUAAAGUAUUAUUCAUGCAAAUUUAAUUAACGUUUGUAAAAAAGUAUCCAAAGUCAACAAAUACAACACAAAUUACUGUUGAUUGGAGGCAUGACGUCCCUGAACCAAUAUCAGUUGAUUGUAUUCAUGAAAGUUAUAUGGAGGGGAAGAUAUUGAUGUUUUUUUGAAGUACUUUUAUGUAAAGUGAUUUAUUUUACAUUUUGUAGAUUUUAGAGAAGUAAAAUAAAAUGUAACUAAUUGCAUUCCAGAAAAGAGGUCUCUUAUCAGUGUCAAAUUUGUUUGAGAUCUCUAUGUCAUGUCGUUGAGAAGGUAUUGAUAUUUUCCAUUUACAGGCAAUUGUAUGCGAUGCAGUUUUAAGACGGUUCCUUAACCCUCUGAACAGAGGAUGGCACAUUUUUAGCUACAUUUCACCUCCAAAAAGUGAAUGACACCGAAUGGAACAGUAGGUUAACUGCCUUAUCCAGUUGUCUUGAAAGAACCAUAAAUCCAGAGAAUGACAGACUUUGAUGCCAAACCGCCGCUACACCUUCCUGUUCAAGUGAGCACAACACAACAAGCUCUAGGCAGACAGCACGUCAGGAAUGCUGUAAGACAUCACAGAGACAGAUGCUUGGCUUUUUCUUUGUCUUUGUGUUGGAGAUUGGCUCUGAUGUUUCAGCCUCUUCUGGAGCUUCUAGCUGCUGGCUGUCUGGCCCCCCCUGAUGGUUCUCUGGCCCCUCCUGCUGGUUCUCUGAACUCCCCUCCUGGUUGUCUGCCCAUGCCUGUUGCCUCCUUGGCCUUUCCUGGUGGCCAUCAGCAGAUCCAGUGGGCUCUUGGCUUACUUGUUGGCCUGUGGCCCACCAGGGCAACUCCUGACCGUGGUUGUAAUCGUGGCUGUGUUGGGUGGUUAGACACCGGGUGUUGAUUUGAGCAUCAGCCUCCAGAUUCAUCUGAUCCAGGAGGGGGUAAGAAGACAGUCCCAGUAGGAGACGGAGAUCGUCCAGAAGAAGAAGAGCUGUCCAUCUCCUCAGAGACUGCAGGAAAGGU